rnacentral:tRNA from 1 species
UGGGUUGUAGCUCAGUGGUAGAGCGCUUACCUAGCAUGUGUGAGGCACUGGGUUUGAGUUUCAGCACCACAU